ensembl:lncRNA
GCUCAGGUGCAUGCAGUGUAUCUGAAUGACUGGAAGGACUGGAGCCAGGAUCCACCCCUUCUCAGAUCUCAUUUAAGGGCUGGCAGCCCAGGUAGGUGUAUUUUGCUGGAGAUCUUUGUGUGCCUGAGGCCUUCUGAAGAGUGGGUAAAGAGGGCGUUCUGCAUCACAGUCUUGUGCUGUUGCUUCGUAAGAGAGCCAGGAGUAAUACCCUAGCACAGCACAAAAUGGAAGUGGGAAAGGUGUUUGGAGCGUCUGAGGCUAGAACAAACUGAUGCUGAUAGACUCACUGAGAACUCCACCAGGAAAAAAUAAAAAGAAAAGUUGUAGAUUAAUAAAAAUUUCUUCAGAAGGACGGGAUAAGUUGAAGAUGGGACUAACAUACACAGAUGUUUGAAUGGACUUUAUUCUUCAUUAAAAUACAACUGCUGGUGGGAUUAAGGAAGGAGUAUGUCACCACUGAGAUUAUGAAGCAGUGGGUGUCUUCAAGAAGAUGAAUACACAAGAAUAGACUGUGUUUUUAAGACCUGGGAGGCAGUGAGGAGCACCCUUUGUGGCCCCAGGCAGUCUCCUGUGUGUGAAGGCAGCCACCCCAGCUCUCAGCACUUUCCCCCUGGGGUCUGGCUGUAGGGCUGAGGCCUGAUGUGUGACCUACACCAUUGAGCUGACCUUGUAUUGCUGGGGCCAUGGAGGAGAGAAGACCUCAAAUAUCCCUGGGAAGGCCACCACAGUACUUGGUUUUUGGGAGUCAUUGUGGGCCAGAACCUGCCUCAGGACCUGGUCUGAGUGACUACUGCUGCCAAACCAGACUCAUCUAUGGCCCUGGGUCCCUGGCCCUGGAAACAUACAGGCAUUGGAUUUUUAAGUGGCCACACCCAGUAUAUUGUAACUGUGACUCAGCCUUGCAUUGGUCCAAUGUUGUGAAGUUAUGGGCCUAAUUUUGAAAAGGUUUUAUUUGUCAGCUCAUUUCCAGCAGACUCAGGAUGGAAAUGAGCCUUUGCAGACAACUAAGAAACAGGAAAUUCAGUAUGCAGAACUCUUCUCCAAACAUGAUGAACUCAACCAUUUUCCUCUCUCAGUAGCAAUGUCAUAAAGAUUUCAUGUUUCUAGAAGUAUCUUUCUUAGAAUUCAUCUAAAUCACACGUGUAUACAAGACGUGCUGCAAAAAGAUGAAUGAUGUUCGUAUGAAAUAUUUAAACAUCAACAAAAAUUUCAAUUAAUCACCUUUCACCACAGUCCAUACUAGCUAUCCUGAUUCCAUUCUUUAAAUUUUCACAAAAGCUAACAUGGAAUUCAGGAAUGGUACUUUCAAAGUGUGCUUUCAAUUUACUUCAGUGGUUAAAAUUAUACUUACUUCUGAUGUUAUGAUUUAUAAAAUUUGUGUCACAAAAGAGUAUAUAUAGAUAUUAUAGAUAUAUAAAUAGUACACCCUUAUUUCUUAAGAAUAAUGUGUGGAAAUAGAAAUGAAAUAAAACAAGAUGUAGCUCAGUAAAAUAAUAGAGAUAUGUAUUAUUUUAAAUAGUUAACAUCUUCAUCCUGUAUGAG